rnacentral:lncRNA from 1 species
CCCUAGUAGUCGGUGGCUGGUCGGUGACUGGGACCAGACCGUCGCCUCCUCCCUUUUACAGCUUUAAGUCUGUGACCCGAGGCCUCUCUGUAUAUUCCCGUGGGGUUGGGCCUAGUUGUCCUGGGAGAAACUAGAUGGAUGAGGAGUAUUUCCGAGACAGGUCCCAGGGCCAGCGCAGCCUUUUCUGUUGCAGAACCGCGACUGUUGUUUUGGGAUCCAGGCCGGAGGGUUUGUUGCUUGUGUUCAUUCCAGUUAACCAUUAGUACUCGAGAAGGUGGUACAGAACGCAUCUAUCCCCUUAGAAGAAAAGAAAUUAAAAGCCAAACUAAACUGGGAUAUAUAUUAAUAUAGGAAACUACCACUGAGACAUAGGAAAGUGUAUUAAAAUAUAACUAGUGAGGUGCUAUGUAUAAUUCAGAGGAAGGGGAAAUUAUGCAUGGGCCAGACUACUAACAAAAGGCUCCAAAGCCUGGGAUACGCUGAGGGCCUUUCCAUAACAGAAAAUGAAAAGGAACCUAAAUUUGAGACUAGAUUUGAGGAAAGGCACAGUUGCGCUGGAGUAGAAAGCGUCUGUCUACCGCAGUGGAAACGAUAUGUUAUUGUAUCCCCAGCACCAUACAAAGGACAUACAAGGGCCAAAUACUGUGGGAAUAUUUAUUAAUGAUAUUAAUGAUGAUGCUGUCCGGGCCAAAGGAAAACUUCCGCUUCACCUUCUGAAGUUUCGCUGAAAGUCACUGACAGGAGGCAGUUAAUAGGAGAAAAGACAUAGACAUUGAUUUGACCAUCGUUUUAUGUGACACGGGAGCCUUCAGAAUGAAGACCCAAAGAUAACAAGGGAAAUCGUGUAUUUGUAUGCUUAGGUUCAACAAAGCAUGGACAGCCGUAUAAAAAAAUGACUGGACAAGGCCGGGCGCGGUGGCUCACGCCUGUAAUCUCAGCACUUUGGGAGGCUGAGGCGGGCGGAUCACAAGGUCAGGAGAUCGAGACCAUCCUGGCUAACACAGUGAAACCCCGUCUCUACUAAAAAUACUAAAAAUUAGCCAGGCGUGGUGGCGGGCGCCUGUAGUCCCAGCUACUCAGGAGGCUGAGGCAGGAGAAUGGCGUGAACCCGGGAGGCGGAGCUUGCAGUGAGCCGAGAUUGCGUCACCGCACUCCAGCCUGGGCGACAGAGCGAGACUCCGUCUCAAAAAAAAUGACUGGACAAAAAACACUCUGAUGCAAACAGGCAAGAAACCCAGCAAGGCCUAUCUGGAUUCUCCUUGGCCUGUCUGCAGCAUUCAUUCCUUCUGGGUAUGGAACAGGACCCUCUGGAAUGGGGGCUGUGGCCUACAACAGUUAAACAAGUGAACUAAAGGGCUCCCAAAAUCUCUCCUGCAGCAUUUUCCUUGAGAAGGAGGAAGGUUUGCAUCUCUAAAUCUCUCUCUGGGAACAGUGUGGAAGAUGGAUUGAAAUGGUGUAAAAUUGAAGAUGUGGACUCCGGUUGGGAGACUACACCCUAGAUAAGAUGAAGAGAACUUGAAGCAAGACAAUAGCAAUGGGAAUAUAAAGGAGAGGAGACAUUUGAGUGAAAUUAAGGAAGCACAAUCUGCAGACUGUUUUCUUUUUUUUAAGAGUCAGGGUCUCCCUAUUUUGCCCAGGCUGGUCUCAAAGUCCUAGGCUCAAGCGACCCACCCACCUCAGCCUUCCAAAAUGCUGGAAUUACAGGGGUGAACUGCCUCACCAUGCCUCAGUCUGCAGAAUUUGAUGACUGAAUGUAUUUGGAGAGAGUCUGUGGCUUGGAUGACUGGGAGCUGUGAUUGGUUGAUUGAUUUUGAGGCGGAGUUUCACUCUUGUUGCCCAGGCUGAAGUGCAGUGGCACAACCUCUGCUCACUGCAACCGCUGCCUUCCAGUUUCAAGCGAUUCUCCUGCCUCAGCCUCCCAAGUAGCUGGGAUUACAGGCGCCUGCCACAACGUCUGGAGACGGAGUUUCUCCAUUUUGGCCAGUUUGGUGUCGA